GCCUUCGUGGUGUAACGGUAGCACACUCUGCUCGUAUUCGAGAGGUCCAGGUUCGAGUCCCGGAGAGGGCA
rnacentral:tRNA from 1 species